AUUGAACGCUGGCGGCAGGCUUAACACAUGCAAGUCGAGCGGAGAUGAGGUGCUUGCACCUUAUCUUAGCGGCGGACGGGUGAGUAAUGCUUAGGAAUCUGCCAUUUAGUGGGGGACAGCAUUCCGAAGGGAAUGCUAAUACCGCAUACGUCCUACGGGAGAAAGCAGGGGAUCUUCGGACCUUGCGCUAAAUGAUGAGCCUAAGUCGGAUUAGCUAGGUGGUGGGGUAAAGGCCUACCAAGGCGACGAUCUGUAGCGGGGCUGAGAGGAUGAUCCGCCACACUGGGACUGAGACACGGCCCAGACUCCUACGGGAGGCAGCAGUGGGGAAUAUUGGACAAUGGGCGGAAGCCUGAUCCAGCCAUGCCGCGUGUGUGAAGAAGGCCUUUUGGUUGUAAAGCACUUUAAGCGAGAAGGAGGCUACUAGUACUAAUACUACUGGAUAGUGGACGUUACUCGCAGAAUAAGCACCGGCUAACUCUGUGCCAGCCGCCGCCGUAACAC
rnacentral:rRNA from 1 species